rnacentral:rRNA from 1 species
UACGUAGGGGGCAAGCGUUGUCCGGAUUUAUUGGGCGUAAAGAGCGUGUAGGCGGCUUGGUAGGUCAGCUGUGAAAACUCGAGGCUCAACCUCGAGACGUCGGUUGAAACCACCUGGCUAGAGUCCGGAAGAGGAGAGUGGAAUUCCCGGUGUAGUGGUGAAAUGCGUAGAUAUCGGGAGGAACACCAGUGGCGAAGGCGACUACCUGGCCUGUUCUUGACGCUGAGGCGCGAAAGCUAGGGGAGCAAACGGG